rnacentral:rRNA from 1 species
GAUGAACGCUGGCGGCGUGCCUAAUACAUGCAAGUCGAGCGAACAGACGAGGAGCUUGCUCCUCUGACGUUAGCGGCGGACGGGUGAGUAACACGUGGAUAACCUACCUAUAAGACUGGGAUAACUUCGGGAAACCGGAGCUAAUACCGGAUAAUAUAUUGAACCGCAUGGUUCAAUAGUGAAAGACGGUUUUGCUGUCACUUAUAGAUGGCUCCGCGCCGCAUUACCUAGUUGGUAAUGUAACGGCUUACCAAGGCAACGAUGCGUAGCCGACCUGAGAGGGUGAUCGGCCACACUGGAACUGAGACACGGUCCAGACUCCUACGGGAGGCAGCAGUAGGGAAUCUUCCGCAAUGGGCGAAAGCCUGACGGAGCAACGCCGCGUGAGUGAUGAAGGUCUUCGGAUCGUAAAACUCUGUUAUUAGGGAAGAACAAAUGUGUAAGUAACUAUGCACGUCUUGACGGUACCUAAUCAGAAAGCCACGGCUAACUACGUG